rnacentral:rRNA from 1 species
UACGUAGGGUGCGAGCGUUAAUCGGAAUUACUGGGCGUAAAGCGUGCGCAGGCGGUUGUGCAAGACAGAGGUGAAAUCCCCGAGCUUAACUUGGGAACUGCCUUUGUGACUGCAUAGCUAGAGUGUGUCAGAGGGGGGUAGAAUUCCACGUGUAGCAGUGAAAUGCGUAGAGAUGUGGAGGAAUACCGAUGGCGAAGGCAGCCCCCUGGGAUAACACUGACGCUCAUGCACGAAAGCGUGGGGAGCAAACAGG